rfam:Ictidomys tridecemlineatus contig097199, whole genome shotgun sequence.
GGGGUUGUGGCUCAGUGGUAGAGCUCUCGCUUAGCAUGUGCAAGGCCCUGAGUUCGAUCCUCAGCACCA